GAUCUCUCCUGAGAAUUCAUAAUCUCAAACAAGGCUUCACUUACCUUUGCAGCCCAAUUUUUAUACCACCUGCAUGGUUCAAAAAACCCCUCCACCCAAGACUAGUUGAAAGUGGUUUCCCAGGCUGAUGAUGCCUACUGGUACCUGGCGGAAGGAGAAAAAGAUCUCUAGGGCACAGUUGUCCCACACACCUUUGGAGUUGAUGGAAAUGUUUUACAACUGUGCUGUCCAGUGUGGCAGCAGCCACCACCCUCCUGUAGCUAUAGAGCAUUUAGAAUGUGGCUAGGGAGUGAGGAACUGAUUAACUUACAGCCAAACGUGGCUGGUGUCUACUCUAUUGGACAGCGUAGCUCUAGGGAAACCUUCAUUAAUCCAGAUCUCAAUUCCCACAGGUAAAGUUAUGAGAUUAGAAACCAUUGUUAAGAAUCACAUCCACGCUCUCGGCUUUCGGCUCGGAGGGGGCGAAGGUGCAACUUUUUUCGGUCGUCCCGAAUCCGGGUUCAUCCGACACCAGCCGCCUCCACCAUGCCGCCGAAGUUCGACCCCAACGAGAUCAAAGUCGUAUACCUGAGGUGCACCGGAGGUGAAGUCGGUGCCACUUCUGCGCUGGCCCCCAAGAUCGGCCCUCUGGGUCUGUCUCCGAAAAAGGUUGGUGAUGACAUUGCCAAGGCAACGGGUGACUGGAAGGGCCUGAGGAUUACAGUGAAACUGACCAUUCAGAACAGACAGGCCCAGAUUGAGGUGGUGCCUUCUGCCUCUGCCCUGAUCAUCAAAGCCCUCAAGGAACCACCAAAAGACAGAAAGAAACAGAAAAACAUUAAACACAGUGGGAACAUCACUUUUGAUGAGAUCAUCAACAUUGCUCGACAGAUGCGGCACCGAUCCUUAGCCAGAGAACUCUCUGGAACCAUUAAAGAGAUCCUGGGGACUGCCCAGUCUGUGGGCUGUAAUGUUGAUGGCCGCCACCCUCAUGACAUCAUAGAUGACAUCAACAGUGGUGCUGUGGAAUGCCCAGCCAGUUAAGCACAAAAGAAAGUAUUUCAAUAAAGGAUCAUUUGACAACUGGUGGAAAAAAAAAA